UUGGAGGGCAAGUCUGGUGCCAGCAGCCGCGGUAAUUCCAGCUCCAAUAGCGUAUAUUAAAGUUGUUGCAGUUAAAAAGCUCGUAGUUGAAUUUCGAGAUCAGAUUGUUGGUCGUGCCUUGGUACGCACUGGCAUUAUUGGUUUCUUCCUUCUGACGAACCUUGAUGUCAUUAAUUUGGUGUCUUGGGAAAUCAGGACUGUUACUUUGAAAAAAUUAGAGUGUUUAAAGCAGGC
rnacentral:rRNA from 1 species